GAUGAACGCUGGCGGCGUGCCUAAUACAUGCAAGUCGAGCGAACAGACGAGGAGCUUGCUCCUCUGACGUUAGCGGCGGACGGGUGAGUAACACGUGGAUAACCUACCUAUAAGACUGGGAUAACUUCGGGAAACCGGAGCUAAUACCGGAUAAUAUAUUGAACCGCAUGGUUCAAUAGUGAAAGACGGUUUUGCUGUCACGUAUAGAUGGAUCCGCGCCGGAUUAGCUAGUUGGUAAGGUAACGGCUUACCAAGGCAACGAUGCGUAGCCGACCUGAGAGGGUGAUCGGCCACACUGGAACUGAGACACGGUCCAGACUCCUACGGGAGGCAGCAGUAGGGAAUCUUCCGCAAUGGGCGAAAGCCUGACGGAGCAACGCCGCGUGAGUGAUGAAGGUCUUCGGAUCGUAAAACUCUGUUAUUAGGGAAGAACAAAUGUGUAAGUAACUAUGCACGUCUUGACGGUACCUAAUCAGAAAGCCACGGCUAACUACGUG
rnacentral:rRNA from 1 species